ensembl:lncRNA
ACUGCUCUCUCUGUCUCUCUGUGUAUGGCCUCCUGGAGAGGCUGGGUCUGCUAUCCUGGGCAGCAGAUUCAGGAAGAGGCUUUCAAAGACCCAACUCCCCCGUGUUGUCACAUCAUCCAGUACCCUCUGACAGACGUUCCCAGCAGAGGAGGCAAGUAGCAGUGACUUGAAUGGGAUUCGAGCAUCCAGCAGAAGCCAGUGCAGAGUGCAAAGAAAUGGGAUAGUCUGAGAGAACAUGGGCAGGUUGACGACCAACUGGACUGCCGUGUGCUGAAUGAGCUGCGGAGGACAGAUUGCACAUGCAGGCACACCAGCUAAAAGAGAGUGGCCUACACACAAGUUUACAAGAGCUCCUUGGACCGUAACCUGGCUGGCCUUCUGGAUAGGUGGGGUGUGAAAGAAGCUGUCAUGCUGUCUCAGGAUCAUAUGCUGGCUGUCACACAUGCUGCAAAGAAGCUGACAUUUGGCUCAGACGGUGUGCGUGUGAGAGAGAGAGAGAGAGAUACAGAGACAGAGAGAGAGGGGGAGAGGUACAGCCCUGCUCCCCCGAGGAGCAGGAAAUCAGUGGCUGGAGGACCCUGUGUUGGGAGGCGUGAUUGCUGCUCAUCUGGCAUCCGAUCGGAGGGGUCUUAUCCACGCCGCCAAGGCCAAGCCUCGGUGUUGUCUUUUUUUGUUGUUGUUCCAUUUAUUAUUUCUGCAUAAAUAAAGAAAAUGUUGCUGCUUCACAUAGAGACCUUAACGAAUGCAAAUAGGAUAAAAUGAUUCAAGUUGUUUUGUAAAUGGAUGAGUGAAAUUAAUGUUAGAAUGGUUAUGUUUUUUCUCACU